rnacentral:sRNA from 14 species
AAUAAAAACAUAAAUGCAAACGAUGAUGGAUAUAUGUAUCUUGUAAAGCCAGUUAUGAGUGGUAUUGUUAUUGUUGUUGGUACAUA